UACAGAGGGUGCGAGCGUUAAUCGGAAUUACUGGGCGUAAAGCGCGCGUAGGCGGCUUUGCAAGUCGGGUGUGAAAUCCCCAGGCUUAACCUGGGAACUGCAUUCGAGACUGCAUUGCUAGAGUAUGGGAGAGGGAAGUGGAAUUUCCGGUGUAGCGGUGAAAUGCGUAGAUAUCGGAAGGAACAUCAGUGGCGAAAGCGGCUUCCUGGACCAGAACUGACGAUCAGGCACGAAAGCGUGGGGAGCAAACAGGG
rnacentral:rRNA from 1 species